CACGUAGGGUGCGAGCGUUGUCCGGAAUUAUUGGGCGUAAAGAGCUCGUAGGCGGUGUGUCGCGUCGGCCGUGAAAACCUGCAGCUUAACUGUGGGCGUGCGGUCGAUACGGGCAUCACUGGAGUUCGGCAGGGGAGACUGGAAUUCCUGGUGUAGCGGUGAAAUGCGCAGAUAUCAGGAGGAACACCGGUGGCGAAGGCGGCAUUCUGGACCGAUAUUGACGCUGAGGAGCGAAAGCCAGGGGAGCAAACGGG
rnacentral:rRNA from 1 species